UAUGACCAAGUUCCUAUAACUCCUCCAUAAGUCAGUGCCUAUAAUAAAGGUGAAUGGAGCAAUAUUUAUACAUAGAGUUGANNNNNNNNNNNNNNNNNNNNAAAAAAAAUAAAAGAAGAGCUGUUUUGCCACAGCCCCCUUUUCUACAGUGCUGUCUCUAGCUUUCCUAUGAGGAUGUUGGUGGGAAAGGACCAGGAGGGCUGUGGAACUGUUGAAACAUGGUUAUUCACUUAGCUUUUACUAAAUUAAUAAACCCAUCUUUCAGACUUGUAAGGAAAGAAUUAUUGCUAGCUUUUAUAAAGUGCGCCGUAGAGUAAGAUCAGGUUAAAACUACAAAAAAUAGUAUUGCUACCCACAUGCAAGUAUUAGAACAUACUUAAGGAAUUUGAAAAAAUGAGUACCCUUCAUUCUUUACCUUUAGUAUACCAUCUUUACUCAGAAAAAAAUGAUUUCGAACCUUGUCCCAAGUGACUCAGACAUUUAUUAGAUGUAUCCAACUCCUUUGGAUGACAAAGAACCUUUUAUUUUUAUUUUUUGUCUUUUUAGGGCUGCACCCAUGGCAUUUGGAAGUUCCCAGGCUUGGGGUCCAAUGGAGCUGUAGCCGCUGGCCUUGCCACAGCCAUAGCAACUCAGGAUCUGAGCCUCGUCUGUGACCUAUACCACAGCUCACGGCAACACCGGAGCCUUAACCCACUGAUCGAGGCCAGGGAUCGAACAUGUGUGUCCUCAUGGAUGCUAGUCAGAUUCGUUUUCACUGCACCAUGACAGGAACUGCCGAAAGAACCUUUAAAAAAGUAUCUAUGAGAGACGACAGAAUGCUGUGGGCUAAAAUGAUUUGUGGCUGGUUUAUCAGUGUAAUACCCUGCUGAUCUUGAGCAGCUACCCGGAGACCUGCACACUUGAACUGUGGACGGAGUCUGAACUUUUGGCCAACACUAACUCACUUUUGGAAUUACUUACCAUAACACUAAAAAUGAGUGAUUCAGCAAGGGGAGUAUCUUCGAGAGAACAUCACUCUGAUAGAUUUCUGCAGCUUAAACUUUUCUUCAUUUUAGUUGUAGGUUGUUUUUUCCCAAUUUUUCUAAUACUUGUAUUUUGAAAAUUAUUAAUAGUAAGCAUCUUAUUAAGUGAAGGGACACAGAUUUGCAUCUUGAACUUGUGGUUUCUUCUCAAAGCUGCUGUUCUUUCACAAACUUGAAGGGGAGUUGCGGAAUAACUCCACUGGCCUAACAGUAAUGCCGGGUGGAAAGUGAUGCAUUUAUGGAAAUAAUUCAAGCCAAAAAAAAUCUACUCUUGUUUGGAUUACCCCAGCUGGGUAGUGCUUUGCUUCUGAACAGAUUCCCAUUGGGUUGAGUUGGGUUAAAGAGGGCAAAACAAUAUGGAAUAUAAGGGAAUCAGCCCAGGGCUCUCCUAGAGUUUAACCUUAGCAAUCCUAUACAAUUUAGCUUGGUCUAGGCCAAACAUCUGUAGAUGUUUUUAAAAGUUUUGGUUUCACUCCAUGGCUGCCAUGUCUUGAAAUAUCUGGAUUACUCAACACAUGCAGAUCAUCAGUACUGCCUUAAGAGCUCAGAAACCCAGCAUGCCAUGGAGAUGAACCAAGACUGCUAGGUUUUCUACAUCCCUGCCAAUCUGGGUCCCACUUCCCACCAUCACUGCUGUUCUUCAGGAAUCAAUGGUUCUUUUAAUUGCCUUCUAUUCAUGCCAUUUGUGACAGGGGGAUUCCCACCCUAGAGUUAUGGGGAUGGCCAGACAUACAACCCCUGACCCUGGACAAGUGAGAUUGCUUACUGGUCACCUAUCCUCCAGCCAGGGGGAGGAGGACACUCAGGGCCACAUGAUGGUUGCACUGGAGAACAAAAUGAACAGCAAGGAGCUGUGCGUGUGUGUGGUGUGACUUGAUGGGGAGGGUUGGUGGUUGUGGGAGGGGAUCAGGCUGGGAAAUACUACAAAUAGCAUCAAGAGGGUGAGGUGCCCCCUGGUUCCCAUGGGAGGAUGUGACUGGCUUAUUUGAAUUCUGAGGGCUGGCAGGGAAACCCACUGCUCAGAGAUUAGCACCUGGUCCAUUUAGUAAUGAGGGUUGUUUGGCUGGGACACCUUAUCCUCUGAAGAAGGUGGUGAAGGGAACCUGUGGUUAGGCCAUUUGAGGUUUCCCAGUUUUCCCCAGAUGUCAAGACAUACAUAAUAUUGGGCCUUAAUUUUAGGCCUUAUGCCACAAUGGCCAAGUCAGGACAUUACUUCUAGACCACCAUCUACAAUACCCCUUAUAAUUGGGAGGGGGAAAAGAAAAAGGUGGAGUGAGGUAAAAUGCAGGCCAAGUCCUGAGAGAGGAAACUCAGUAGGACAGACAAUCCAGUUCCUAGGAAAAUAAAUUGCAAUGGGGAAAAAAGAGAGUUAAAAAGGACCAAUUAUUUAAAAGAUGCUUAGAAGACCCAUCAAACAACUGCAAAGCAUGGAUUUUACUUGGAUCUUGAUUUAAAAAAAAAAAUUCAACUAUGACAUGUAUGAGGCCUUGGAAGUUUGAACAUGAGACAUUUGAUAAAUUCAAGGACUGAAUGCUAAUUGUUUUAGAUGUAAUGAUGGUGUUAUGCUUAUUUUGAAGAGAAAGUAGUCAUUAUAUUUUAGAGGCAAGCUCUGAAAUGGUUAUAAGUGAAAUUAUUUAAUGCCUGGAUUUUGCUUCAAAAUAGUGUUGAAGGAAGGAAGUGAAAGAGAGUGUGAACGGGGCAGGGUUGGCUAGGGGGCUGAUGGUUGCUGAGGAAGAAAAAAUCACCCUAUGCAUAUUUUUACAUAGGCCUGAAAUUAUUAUUUGUUUAAAACAAUGUGAAAAAAUUUUGUUUAAUACAUGCAUGUGUAUGAUUUUAUUUUGUAUUUGUGCUAGAAUAUUUUCCAAAGAAACAACUUUAUUUAAAAAAAAAAAAUAAGUUGGAGUUCCCAUCGUGGCUCAGUGGUUAAUGAACCCGACUAGCAUCCAUGAGGAUUCAGGUUCGAUCCCUGGCCUCAUUCACCACCGGCCUACGCCAGAGCCACAGCAACGCGGGAUCCGAGCCACGUCUGCAACCUACACCACAGCUCACGGCAAUGCUGGAUCGUUAACCCACUGAGCAAGGGCAGGGACCGAACCCGCAACCUCAUGGUUCCUAGUCGGAUUUGUUAACCACUGCGCCACUAUGGGAACUCCUAAAUAGUAGUAUUUUAAUAUUUAUUACCGGUUGCAGAUAGUUCUCAGGUGCAAAGCAAAUUCGGAAAGAUAGUUUCCAAGCACAAUCAUCAACGACAUUAGCAAUAAGUAGAUUUUAAAGUUUGUUCACUUCCACAAAGUCCAAAGUUCUAUAAGUUAAACAGUGAAUUUCCAAGGGUGCUUAUCAGUGUGAAUAAAUAAGGUGUGGUGAUACCCACACAGGCAGUGCUUUUGGAAAAAAAAAAAACAAAAAACAAUUCAUUGACUCAGUUUGCACAAUAUUGGUUACUUAGAACAUUUUAUUAUCUGAAUAUUCAGCAUAAUAUUGCUUUCAAUUUUUUUGUGACAAUUAUCUUUUUUUCUGAUUUUUAUUUUUUCGUUAUAGCUGGUUUAUAGCGUUCUGUCAAUUUUCUACUGUAUAGCAAAGUGACCCAGUUACACAUACAUGUAUACGUUCUUUUUUCUCAAGUUACUAUAGUUCCCAGUGCUAUGCAGCAGGUUCUCAUGACGAUUAUCUUCUGAAACUUAAAGAUUUUGUAUAAAAUCUUGGAUUUUCUUUUCUCAGAUUGGCCCAAUGUAAUCUGGGUCAUUGUCCUGCCCCCUCUGUAACGCCCAUCCUGUGAAUUAUGGAUACUCAGUCACUUGGUCCUUGGAAUUGAUGAUUGAUGUUAAAUGUGUGUGUUUAGUUAACAUAGCAAUGUU
ensembl:lncRNA